rnacentral:rRNA from 1 species
GAUGAACGCUGGCGGCGUGCCUAAUACAUGCAAGUCGGGCGAACGGACGAGAAGCUUGCUUCUCUGAUGUUAGCGGCGGACGGGUGAGUAACACGUGGAUAACCUACCUAUAAGACUGGGAUAACUUCGGGAAACCGGAGCUAAUACCGGAUAAUAUUUUGAACCGCAUGGUUCAAAAGUGAAAGGCGGUCUUGCUGUCACUUAUAGAUGGAUCCGCGCUGCAUUAGCUAGUUGGUAAGGUAACGGCUUACCAAGGCAACGAUGCAUAGCCGACCUGAGAGGGUGAUCGGCCACACUGGAACUGAGACACGGUCCAGACUCCUACGGGAGGCAGCAGUAGGGAAUCUUCCGCAAUGGGCGAAAGCCUGACGGAGCAACGCCGCGUGAGUGAUGAAGGUCUUCGGAUCGUAAAACUCUGUUAUUAGGGAAGAACAUAUGUGUAGGUAACUGUGCACAUCUUGACGGUACCUAAUCAGAAAGCCACGGCUAACUACGUG